GGUUAAAUGGUGUAGUGGUUAUCACAUCUGUCUUACAAUGUGCUUGCACAAUGUGCACAGAAGGUCCCAAGUUCAAUCCUUGGUUUAAUCA